GGGGUUGUGGCUCAGUGGUAGAGCACUUGCCUGGCAUGUGUGAAGCACUGAGUUCAACCCUCAGUACCACA
rnacentral:tRNA from 1 species